UAGUUCAAGAGACAAGGUUCUUGUAAAGAGAAGAUGCUUCUCCCAUGGGACUGUUGUUGAAGAAACCCUUGCACACACAGUAAGCUUGUGGUACACAGCAGACUUUGCCUUUGUGUCUAGUGUCUCAAAGCGAACCGUGCAUGGACAUUUCACACAGGGGCCCAUCCUGCUCGUGAAUUUGCUCAUCAGAAAGAAGUUGUAUCCAGUUUGGAUGGCCAUAGUUGACCACGAGUCCCUGUGGUUUUGUGGAGCAUUUUCGGGCUCUAUGCCCAGGAGUGGUAUGGUUGAGUGUUGAGUUAGAACUAGUCCCAAUUUUCUAAGAAAUAGCCAAAUUGAUUUCCAAAGUGGUUGUGUAAGUUUGCACUCCCAUCAGUAAUGAUGGAGUGUCCCCCUUGCUCCAGAUCCUCCUCCUCGGCAUAAACGGUCACUUGAGUUUUUGAUCUUAGCCCUUCUGACCGGGGUUAGAUGGAAUUCAGAGUCAUUUUGAUUUGUGUUUCCCUAAUGACUAAGGAUGUAGAACAUUUAUUUCUUUAAAUGCUUCUUAGCCAUUAGAGAUUCCUCUGUUGAGAAUUUUGGCUAUCUGGCUCUGUACCCCAUGUGGGUCCCCAAAGCAAUUAUGGUGGGGCUGUCUCUGACUGUUGACUGCCUUUGGAUCCCUCUCCCCUAACUGGGCUACCUUGCUGGUCUCAGUGGGAAAGGAUUCACCUAGUUCUGACGUGC
rnacentral:lncRNA from 1 species